rnacentral:ncRNA from 1 species
AACAAAGGUGCCACGGGCCCCUAGCAGCCGUCUCUGCGGUGGUCACGGAGCAGUCGAGCGCCACUCGUUAUUACUAUCACAUAUGAUUUUUCUUAUUUACACUAUAUGCCCGUUAGAGCACACAAUUCCCAGCACACAAUCGUAUGCGGUAUCACGUGUUAUCACACACAUGUUUACAUAAGGAACCAUAUGUAUAACUUUUAAAUCAUCACCCACGAGUAUUCGCACAACUCAUCAUAUGUGAUGCUCCUAACCAUCGCAAACCAUUACUUUAUACAAAGCGUUUGCCAAUAAACACACACGCUUCUAACAAUGCCCCCUGCGCAUUACGAUUACAUAUCACACACAUAAUGUUUCGUCUAAAUGUCUGCUCUCUAUCACACGCGGUCUACAUAUCAUCAUCGUGCCCGAUGGAUGGGCGGUCACACACGUUUUGUUUUCUGGCACACGUAUAUAUUUUAUUAUCGUUUGCGAUUCAUGCAUCACACACAGUUUGGUCGAAUGGUCUCCUAUACAUGUGUCGUCUUAGGACCUUCCGACAGUAGUGUACCGUGCUUGUAUCGCUGCUUGUUUUCGUUGGGUCUCUGUAACUCCCCUACAUUUAGCGGUAAUACCGCUCCCUUGAGCGGUAGUACCGCUUGAGCUUUUCCAGAACAUAAUGGUUGGAUCCUCCUAUGUCGGACACAGGUGGUGCAUGGUUGUCGUCAGCUCGUGCCCUAAGGUGUUGGGUUAAGUCUCACAAUGAGCGCAACCCUCGUGUUUAGUUGCCACUAUGAGUUUGGAACCCUGAACAGACCGCCGGUGUUAAGCCGGAGGAAGGAGAGGACGGGGCCAAGUCAUCAUGCCCCUUAUGCCCUGGGCGACACACGUGCUACAAUGGGCGGGACAAAGGGCGCGAUCUCGCGCGGGUGAGCUAACUCCAAAAACCUGUCCUCAGUUCGGAUUGCAGGUCGUAACUCACCUACAUGAAGCAGGAAUCACUAGUAAUUGCCGGUCAGCCAUACGGCGGUGAAUCCGUUCCCGGGCCUUGUACAUACCGCCCGUCACACUAUAGGAGUUGGCCAUAUUUGAAGUCAUUACCCUUAAUCCUAAGGAGGGGGAUUCCUAAGGCUAGGCUUGCGAUUGGAGUGAGGUUGUAACAAGGUAGUCGUACUGGAAGGUCCGACUGGUACUCACUAUAU